rfam:Vibrio nigripulchritudo str. SFn1 chromosome, complete genome.
CUAAUCUCGAAGAGCGUUUUGGGGGAUACGCACAGUGACCAUUCAAGCUGAUUGUGACACUGUGUAGGGUAGGUACUGAUUGGUUCUUCAAUCAGUAGAUGGGAAGAAAAUGCCAUAGGACUGGUAUUGUUAUAGGAAGCCCAACA